rnacentral:tRNA from 1 species
UCCCUCGUGGCUCAGAUGGUAAAGCAUCUGUCUACAAUGCAGAGGACGCAGGUUCAAUUCCUGGGUUGGGAC